rnacentral:lncRNA from 1 species
CUUUAAAUAAGGGUGAAUUUGCGAGAUAGCCAAAAUCUAGAGUAUAAUUAGGCAAAUGACUAUGAUUUUGACAUUAUUGAGUGAAUAAUAUUUUGCCUUCUCCCAAGCCGGUUAUACCCCUACUGAAAACAAGUUACCGGUCAAAACAAAAGGAGAGAUGACAUCGAUGACUUAAUAGAUGGAUCACAUUCACUGUGUACUGUUAACUAACAAAUCAAGCAAAUAUAUCCACGUCACAUGCUUUCUUACCACGUAUAUGUUAACUGUGCUAUAUAAAUGUUUUAUUCCAUUUAUAAAAGUACUAUGUUUGAUAGAAACAAACAGAACACCUUCAUAUGAAACAGAACUAGAAACCUUAAACUCAAUUCCACACCUAAAUACUACGCCCUAAACUCGAAUCUCUAAACUAAAACUCAAAUAUUAAAUCUAAUUUCUAAUUAUAAUAAUUUUAAAAAAUAAAAUAAAAUAAAGAUAUAUAAAAUUUGAACUAUUGUUCUAUACUAUCUAAAAUAGAGUGGAGACUAUUCUUCAGAACUAAUGCAUUUGUGUUCAACCUUAACCCACCUCCAACCAAAAUAGUAUAUAACACCAAUCCCAUCCCAACCCCUCAAUAAUAAACCAUAUAACAACCCUACCAUAAACCCUUAAAUACUUAACCUUAAACCAUAAUCACUAUACCCUAAACUAAAAUAUAAACCCUAAACCCAAAUAUAAACCCUCAACCUAAAUAGAAUGGAACUAAAUAAAUAGCAUAAUACAUUUUGGUGAAAAUAUGAAAUGUCUAUGAUAUCAUCAAAGAAGUUAAUGCUAACUCCAACCUUACCUCCUCCACCUACAAAAUAUUAUACCCCAAACUUUAAUCACUAAACGCAAAUAUAAACCAUAAACCCAAAUAUUAAAAGUAUAUAAACAUUAUCAUUCUACAUUAGGCAUAUAGAAUAGAAAAUCUGAAAAUGUAGUUACAAUCUAAAACUCAUCUUAACAUAUUUUUCAAAUAUUGAUAUGGUUAUGCCUUCAUGGAAGAUGGUAAUUCUUGUCACAAUAUCAACCCCAACCAUACAUAAACUAAACCCUACACGGAAAUAUAAAUCCUAAUCCAAUGUCAACUUAACAAAUCAAGCAAAUAUAUCCACGUCACAUGCUUUCUUACCACAUAUAUGUUAACUAUGCUAUAUAAAUGUUUUAUUCCAUCUAUAAAAGUACUAUGUUUGAUAGAAACAAGCAGAACACCUUCAUAUGAAACAUAACUAGAAACUUUAAACUCAACUCCACACCUAAAUACCGCCCUAAACUCGAAUCUCUAAACUAAAACCCAAAUAUUAAAUCUAAUUUCUAAUUAUAAUAUUUUUAAAAAUAAAAUAAAAUAAAGAUAUAUAAAAUUUGAACUAUUGUUCUAUACUAUCUAAAAUAGAGUGGAGACUAUUCUUCAGAACUAAUGCAUUUGUGUUCAACCUUAACCCACCUCCAACCAAAAUAGUAUAUAACACCAAUCUCAUCCCAACCCCUCAAUAAUAAACCAUAUAACAACCCCACCAUAAACCCCUAAAUACUUAACCUUAAACCAUAAUCAUUAUACCCUAAACUUAAAUAUAAGCCCUAAAUCCAAAUAUAAACUCUCAACCUAAAUAGAAGGGAACUAAAUAAAUAGCAUAAUACAUAUUGGUGAAAAUAUGAAAUGUCUAUGAUAUUAUCGAAGAAGUUAAUGUUAACUCCAUCUUUACCUCCUUCACCUACAAAAUACUAUACCCUAAACUUUAAUCCCUAAACCCUAAACCCAAAUAUUAAAAGUAUAUAAAACAUUACCAUUCUACAUGAGGCAUAUAGAAUAGAAAAUCUGAAAAUGUAGUUACAAUCUAAAACUCAUCUUAACAUAUUUCUCAAAUAUUGAUACGGUUAUGCCUUCAUGGAAGAUGGUAAUUCUUGUCACAAUAUCAACCCCAACCAUACAUAAACUAAACCCUACACGGAAAUAUAAAUCCUAAUCCAAUGUCAACCCCAAUCUUUCAUAAACUAAACCCUAGCCACUAAUCACUAAACCCUAUAUGGAAUAUAAACUUUUAUCCAACCUCAAACUCAA